rnacentral:rRNA from 1 species
UACAGAGGUCUCAAGCGUUGUUCGGAUUCAUUGGGCGUAAAGGGUGCGUAGGCGGCGCGGUAAGUCGGGUGUGAAAUUUCGAGGCUUAACUUCGAAACUGCAUUCGAUACUGCCGUGCUUGAGGACUGGAGAGGAGACUGGAAUUUACGGUGUAGCGGUGAAAUGCGUAGAUAUCGUAAGGAAGACCAGUGGCGAAGGCGGGUCUCUGGAACGGUACUGACGCUGAGACGCGAAAGCGUGGGGAGCGAACAGG